rnacentral:rRNA from 1 species
GGGUUGUGAGGUUAAGCGACUAAGCGUACACGGUGGAUGCCCUGGCAGUCAGAGGCGAUGAAGGGCGUGCUAAUCUGCGAUAAGCGCCGGUAAGGUGAUAUGAACCGUUAUAACCGGCGAUACCCGAAUGGGGAAACCCAGUGUGAUUCGUCACACUAUCAUUAACUGAAUCCAUAGGUUAAUGAGGCGAACCGGGGGAACUGAAACAUCUAAGUACCCCGAGGAAAAGAAAUCAACCGAGAUUCCCCCAGUAGCGGCGAGCGAACGGGGAGGAGCCCAGAGCCUGAAUCAGCAUGUGUGUUAGUGGAAGCGUCUGGAAAGGCGCGCGAUACAGGGUGACAGCCCCGUACACAAAAGCGCAUAUGCUGUGAGCUCGAUGAGUAGGGCGGGACACGUGGUAUCCUGUCUGAAUAUGGGGGGACCAUCCUCCAAGGCUAAAUACUCCUGACUGACCGAUAGUGAACCAGUA